ACGGGAGGCAGCAGUGGGGAAUUUUGGACAAUGGGGGCAACCCUGAUCCAGCAAUGCCGCGUGAGUGAAGAAGGCCCUCGGGUUGUAAAGCUCUUUUGUCAGGGAAGAAACGGAGUUCUCUAAUAUAGGAUUCUAAUGACGGUACCUGAAGAAUAAGCACCGGCUAACUACGUGCCAGCAGCCGCGGUAAUACGUAGGGUGCAAGCGUUAAUCGGAAUUACUGGGCGUAAAGCGUGCGCAGGCGGUUUUGUAAGUCUGAUGUGAAAUCCCCGGGCUCAACCUGGGAACUGCAUUGGAGACUGCAAGGCUAGAGUGUGUCAGAGGGGGGUAGAAUUCCACGUGUAGCAGUGAAAUGCGUAGAGAUGUGGAGGAAUACCGAUGGCGAAGGCAGCCCCCUGGGAUAACACUGACGCUCAUGCACGAAAGCGUGGGGAGCAAACAGGAUUAGAUACCCUGGUA
rnacentral:rRNA from 1 species